UACGGAGGGUGCGAGCGUUGUCCGGAAUCACUGGGCGUAAAGGGCGCGUAGGCGGCUCGGUCAGCGUGCGGUGAAAGCCCGGGGCUCAACCCCGGGUCGGCCGUGCGAACUGCUGGGCUGGAGCACUGUAGAGGCAGGUGGAAUUCCGGGUGUAGCGGUGGAAUGCGUAGAGAUCCGGAAGAACACCGGUGGCGAAGGCGGCCUGCUGGGCAGUAGCUGACGCUGAUGCGCGACAGCGUGGGGAGCAAACAGG
rnacentral:rRNA from 1 species